rnacentral:rRNA from 1 species
UGGGGAAUAUUGGACAAUGGGCGCAAGCCUGAUCCAGCAACGCCGCGUGGAGGACGAAGGUCUUCGGAUCGUAAACUCCUGUCAGACGGGACGAAGGUUUCAGGGUAAAUAAUCCUGAAUCUUGACGGUACUGUCAGAGGAAGCCCCGGCUAACUCCGUGCCAGCAGCCGCGGUAAUACGGAGGGGGCGAGCGUUAUUCGGAAUUAUUGGGCGUAAAGGGCGCGUAGGCGGCCUGGCAAGUCAAAGGUGAAAUCCCUCGGCUCAACUGAGGAACUGCCUUUGAAACUGCCUGGCUUGAGGCCGGGAGGGGGUAGCGGAAUUCCCAGUGUAGCGGUGAAAUGCGUAGAUAUUGGGAGGAACACCAGUGGCGAAGGCGGCUACCUGGACCGGUUCUGACGCUGAUGCGCGAAAGCGUGGGUAGCAAACAGGAUUAGAUACCCUGGUAGUCCACGCUGUAAACGAUGGGUGCUCGGUGUCGCGGGUAUCGACCCCUGCGGUGCCUUAGCCAACGUCG